GAAGCUGCUGCCCGCCCAUCAAAGGCACCUUGAGCACACGCAGCGGAGCCGCUCACAAAGUUCCUGCCGCUGCAGGACCACAAAGAGCACUUCUGCUGACAAGGAGAAGGGGGAGAAAUAGCAGGGUAGGAGGAUACAACAAUAAAUCCUCUCCGAGGUGUGUGGCUAUGGAAGAAUCUGCUCCAGCGGAAAAAAGCUGGCAGUUACAGUAGUCAGGGAGCAGCUGGAGAGAGCAACCGACAGUGCAAGUGGGAGCACAUGGGAAACAAUGGGAGAUGAAGCAUGAAGAGGAAGAAUUAAAACCAAGUGGAAAGCAAAGCAGCCGAUGCUGCUGAUCUGUCAGUUUAGAGUCGUUAUUUUGGAUCUGCCCUUCUCUUUGGCUAUUGUACUCAUUUAUUUAUCCCUAGCCAGAAUCAAAUCAUUCAGCCUUACUUAUUUGUGUAAUCUGCCUUUGCUGUUGGUGUUCCUGAAUAAGCCAUGCACAGGGAUGAGACAGGAGCGGGGGCUGGGAUGAACAGCUUCUGUUUUCCUGUAAAAUACCUAUUUAAUGUCCUGCAGCCAAAAACUAAACUCGGUGUCAGGCAAAACCUGAUUGAGGAAGAAAAUGGUAAAGGGCAAUAUCUUACUCAUCAGGUUAAACUUAACAAUGUAAAGAGAAAUUAUGACUACUUGACAUUGGUCUGCAAUUCUGCAGGCUCAUGCACCUCUUCACAACUGUGCCAAGUGAAAUGGAGAAAGGAUGAAGGGUCAGCACAGGGGUACCCGAGUGUCACAGAAACUGUGUGCAGGCUUCCACUGACUUAUUGCCCAUCACUUCCCCUAAUGGCUGGGAAUAGGAUUAUUAGAUUAAGCUACAAGUGGUUUAAUACCCCUGGAUGCAAACUGCAGUCAGCUAAUAAAGUGGUUUUAACAUGUAAAUAAUUAGGGGUAAAUAUAGUGCUGAUUUUUUAUAGGUAAGAAGAAUUCUGCAAGUCAUGCUGUCAUUAGAAGUCCCUCACAAAGCUGUGACUGCAGUCGGUAGCUGUAUGAGUGAAGUGAUUAGUAUCUUGCCUGUGCUCCUUAUUCGACAGGACCAAAAAUACACCCUUAAAAAUACACUCCUUGAAUAUAGGUUUCAGUCCUUUAAACUGCUGUACAGGAGAUGAUCCAUCCUACAUAGCUGCUAAUUUGAGAGCUGCUUGGUUUGCAUUGCAGAAGCAACACAUGUUUUGUUUAGAGGUUCAUUUGUGUGUUGUAAUUACAAACCCCACAAGACUGUUAAGGCCUGAUUUUGAGGCACGCUUAGUGUGAAAUGUAGAAAAGGCAUCCUCCAAAGGUGGGGAAUCAAAAUGAAAGCUGGAACCUCUGCCCUCGCUUUGUGUGCACUGCAGGUCUCUGGCACUAGAGGGCACAGCCCAUCCCUGCCAAAUUCCCUUUCUCCGGGGUUAUUAUCAAUUUUUAGCCGUUUUCCCCUUUAUCACGAGAAGGUUUUCUAUAACCACUUGUCCCUUUUUAUCUCUGCUGCCCAGUAUUGGUUUCUAAAUAAAAGUUUCCUGUGCUGAAAUAGAAUUAGUCCAAUUUUCGCUCUGGAAUCACUCACAUCACGAGAAUAAACUUUGGUGGUUUAUACCCCAGACAGGCACAUGGCUGCAGCACUGGAAGGGAAAUCCUGUCCUUGUCACUGUGAGGACAGACAGAUAACGAGUCCGUUAUGGUAUGGCAUUUCCUAUUUUAAUGCUGGAUGACUACAUGUAACCAUAUUACUGUUCAUGAAAUGCUGGUCACCAUGGUAGUAACAGGGUUUUAAUGAUGGAAAAUGUAAGUAAAAGGCUUCUUAAAGGCAAAGGUUCUAAGCUUUGAAAUUUAAUGUGCAUAAAAAUCUGAAUAAGACAACAUUAUACGUUUUCUCCUCAUGGAAUUCUGGUCUUAAUUAUGAGAAGUCCCUUACCAUUCAUUUUCUCAUUUCUAAUACUAAAGAUGACUGCAUAAUCUACUUUACAAACUCAGCAUCACUGUACCAGGACUGAAUAAUACAGCCAAAAGAUAGAGCUAUUCCGUCAUGGUGAGAGUGGUGCUUUAUUUUGGUGGCCAAACUGGAAGCAUUGACUGGAGAAGAGUUAUUAUCGUGCAGCCCAGUUUUCUUGCUGCUUUGCAAUCGACAAAGCAUCAUUUAUCAUCCUUUGCAUCCCAAUUUUUCUUUGCAUGUUUUCCAGCUCAUCAUAACAUAAUUAUGUUCCUGUUUCUUCCAGCCAGGGGCUGCUACUUUCUUUUCCUAAGACAACAGCUGCACUGCACAACCUUGAUGAAUCCCCAUAAGGGUAAAACGUGUCUGUGGUGCUUGUUUCUGCCUUGGCAACCCGACUGUUCGAGCUCUCUUUUUCAUGACAAAUGCUGCUCUAAAAUGCACCCAACCCCGAUGCUUUCACAGCGCUUCUCAAAACGAGGGUUUACGUUGUAAUUUAGACUUGAAAUAUUAAACACUCUGGCUGCUUUGUAA